rnacentral:lncRNA from 1 species
AUGAACUCAGUGCAGACACAGCACACAUAUACAGGUUCUCUAGACCCAAACAGCUCUGCAACUCAGUUUGGAAAACCUCCAGUUAGUGGUUCCAGAGCUGGCCAGUCAAUCUCUUCAACCAAGCCUAGCGACAUCAUCGAUCAUUGCUUCACCUCAACAGAAUUCCCGGAGCAAACUUCUGGAAAAGUGAGGAGAUCAAGGGUUGAGCACAAGUCAGCUGCGGAGAUGACAGCAGAGCUGGACCGAGAGCCGGCCUCCGGGCUUCGUCCUCAGCCUUGGUUGCAUCACAUGUGUACCCUCAGGUGGCAGAAGUAAGAAGAUGCCUGCAUGUCCAAGGAUCUCAAAGCACCUCUGGUGGAAAUACAUAACAAGGUAAAGAACGUCUAUUUAUUUUUAAAUCUGUUUAUUUCUUGGAGGAAUUAGUAUUUAAUGGAAAAGAUGUGACUAGUAACAAAUAGAGCCCAAGGCUAUUUCUGGUUCUGUCAUUGACUCACUUUGACUUUGGGCAGAUCAUCUCACCACUGUUGCUCUUUAUCUGCAAAAACUGGACUUCAUGUCUAUGGGAGUUGCAUGGCUAAUCAAUGCCUGGAAAAUGCGUAGUGGCAGAUGCUACAAAAGUGCUGAGCCUUAAAAACAAAACCACCCCCACCCCCCAUUUGUAUUCAGUUGAGGUUCGGGCUUAUUGUUAUUUAACAUUCGGAGGCCAACAGUACGUUAAGUCCAGCGUGCUACACAGAACAGAUAAUAUCACUGUCCAGCA